rnacentral:rRNA from 1 species
GACGAACGCUGGCGGCGUGCCUAAUACAUGCCAGUUGAGCGCUGAAGGUUGGUACUUGUACCAACUGGAUGAGCAGCGAACGGGUGAGUAACGCGUGGGGAAUCUGCCUUUGAGCGGGGGACAACAUUUGGAAACGAAUGCUAAUACCGCAUAAAAACUUUAAACACAAGUUUUAAGUUUGAAAGAUGCAAUUGCAUCACUCAAAGAUGAUCCCGCGUUGUAUUAGCUAGUUGGUGAGGUAAAGGCUCACCAAGGCGAUGAUACAUAGCCGACCUGAGAGGGUGAUCGGCCACAUUGGGACUGAGACACGGCCCAAACUCCUACGGGAGGCAGCAGUAGGGAAUCUUCGGCAAUGGCAGAAAGUCUGACCGAGCAACGCCGCGUGAGUGAAGAAGGUUGUCGGAUCGUAAAACUCUGUUGGUAGAGAAGAACGUUGGUGAGAGUGGAAAGCUCAUCAAGUGACGGUAACUACCCAGAAAGGGACGGCUAACUACGUG